rnacentral:rRNA from 1 species
AUUUUUACAAUGAAGAGUUUGAUCCUGGCUCAGGAUGAACGCUAGCUACAGGCUUAACACAUGCAAGUCGAGGGGCAGCAUGGUCUUAGCUUGCUAAGGCCGAUGGCGACCGGCGCACGGGUGAGUAACGCGUAUCCAACCUGCCUUACACUCUUGGACAGCCUUCUGAAAGGGAGAUUAAUACAAGAUGUUAUCAUGAGUAAGCAUUUUCGCAUGAUUAAAGGUUUACCGGUGUAAGAUGGGGAUGCGUUCCAUUAGAUAGUAGGCGGGGUAACGGCCCACCUAGUCUUCGAUGGAUAGGGGUUCUGAGAGGAAGGUCCCCCACAUUGGAACUGAGACACGGUCCAAACUCCUACGGGAGGCAGCAGUGAGGAAUAUUGGUCAAUGGACGAGAGUCUGAACCAGCCAAGUAGCGUGAAGGAUGAAGGUUCUAUGGAUUGUAAACUUCUUUUAUACGGGAAUAAACGAAUCCACGCGUGGAUUUUUGCAUGUACCGUAUGAAUAAGGAUCGGCUAACUCCGUGCCAGCAGCCGCGGUAAUACGGAGGAUCCGAGCGUUAUCCGGAUUUAUUGGGUUUAAAGGGAGCGUAGAUGGGUUGUUAAGUCAGUUGUGAAAGUUUGCGGCUCAACCGUAAAAUUGCAAUUGAUACUGGCAGUCUUGAGUACAGUUGAGGUAGGCGGAAUUCGUGGUGUAGCGGUGAAAUGCUUAGAUAUCACGAAGAACUCCGAUUGCGAAGGCAGCUUACUAACCUGUAACUGACAUUGAUGCUCGAAAGUGUGGGUAUCAAACAGGAUUAGAUACCCUGGUAGUCCACACGGUAAACGAUGAAUACUCGCUGUAGGCGAUAUACGGUCUGCGGCCAAGCGAAAGCAUUAAGUAUUCCACCUGGGGAGUACGCCGGCAACGGUGAAACUCAAAGGAAUUGACGGGGGCCCGCACAAGCGGAGGAACAUGUGGUUUAAUUCGAUGAUACGCGAGGAACCUUACCCGGGCUUAAAUUGCAACCGAAUAUGGCGGAAACGCCAUAGCUAGCAAUAGCGGUUGUGAAGGUGCUGCAUGGUUGUCGUCAGCUCGUGCCGUGAGGUGUCGGCUUAAGUGCCAUAACGAGCGCAACCCUUGCCGAUAGUUACUAACAGGUUAUGCUGAGGACUCUGUCGGGACUGCCAUCGUAAGAUGUGAGGAAGGUGGGGAUGACGUCAAAUCAGCACGGCCCUUACGUCCGGGGCUACACACGUGUUACAAUGGGGGGUACAGAGGGCUGCUACCACGCAAGUGGAUGCCAAUCCCAAAAACCUCUCUCAGUUCGGAUUGAAGUCUGCAACCCGACUUCAUGAAGCUGGAUUCGCUAGUAAUCGCGCAUCAGCCACGGCGCGGUGAAUACGUUCCCGGGCCUUGUACACACCGCCCGUCAAGCCAUGGGAGCCGGGGGUACCUGAAGUGCGUAACCGCAAGGAGCGCCCUAGGGUAAAACUGGUGACUGGGGCUAAGUCGUAACAAGGUAGCCGUACCGGAAGGUGCGGCUGGAACACCUCCUUUCUGGAG